GUGUCAGCAGCCGCGGUAAUACGUAGGGUCCGAGCGUUGUCCGGAGUGACUGGGCGUAAAGCGCGCGCAGGCGGCCUGUGAGGUGUCACGUGAAAGCCCCGAGCUCAACUCGGGAGGGUCGUGGCAAACCGGCGGGCUUGAGGCCGGUAGAGGUGGGUGGAACUCCUGGUGGAGUGGUGAAAUGCGUAGAGAUCAGGAAGAACACCCGUGGCGAAGGCGGCCCACUGGGCCGGACCUGACGCUGAGGCGCGAAGGCGUGGGGAGCGAACGGGAUUAGAUACCCCGGUAGUCC
rnacentral:rRNA from 1 species